GGGCCCGCACAAGCGGUGGAGUAUGUGGUUUAAUUCGAUGCAACGCGAAGAACCUUACCAGGGUUUGACAUCCUGCGAAUCUCUUGGAAACGAGAGAGUGCCUUCGGGAGCGCAGUGACAGGUGGUGCAUGGCUGUCGUCAGCUCGUGUCGUGAGAUGUUGGGUUAAGUCCCGCAACGAGCGCAACCCACGUCUUUAGUUGCCAUCAUUAAGUUGGGCACUCUAGAGAGACUGCCGGUGAUAAACCGGAGGAAGGUGUGGAUGACGUCAAGUCAUCAUGCCCCUUACAUCCUGGGCUACACACGUACUACAAUGCUACGGACAAAGGGCAGCAAGUUCGCGAGGACAAGCA
rnacentral:rRNA from 1 species